GACAGAGGUGCCAAGCGUUAUGCGGAAUCACUGGGCUUAAAGCGUGUGUAGGCGGAUUUGUAAGUACCUUGUGAAAUCCCACGGCUUAACCGUGGAACUGCUCGGUAUACUGCGAAUCUUGGGCCAUCUAGGGGCUACCGGAACAAGUGGUGGAGCGGUGAAAUGCGUAGAUAUCAUGAGGAAUACCAGAGGCGAAGGCGGCUACCUGGACAAUUGCUGACGCUCAGGCACGAAAGCGUGGGGAGCAAAAGGG
rnacentral:rRNA from 1 species